rnacentral:lncRNA from 1 species
CACAAAGAUGAGCCUUGUCCAUUCCUCAGUUUGGCUGACUCUGCCAAAAAUCUGCUAAUUCAUUUUCCCUGUGCAGGAGAGUCGGACUCAGCUUCUCACCCUCACACAGCCUUCUCUGGCCUCAGUGACUGGGUACAGGCUGAGAGAAGCUGACCUCAGCCCAACAAAAACACAGCCUGUAUCCUCCAAGAUCCCUGCCAGGAGCCACUGCCCAGCAAAAAUCUGAGGAAGAUCUUACCAGAAGGUCUAGCCUGGCUUUCCCAGAUGGCUGGAGUCAUCUCUCAGCACCUGUGUAAAGUAUCUCCCAGCCCACCUCAGCCAUCCACCACCAGCCUGACACAGACAAGGUUCCUUAUGCAUGACAACUCGGGACAGUGCUACAGUCUAGAGCAGAGGCGAUAGGAUUCUUCAUAGCAGCCAACCUAUGCUGGUCACCUAGCCUCACUCCUUCCUGCUUCAGAAACAAGAAGCUCAACAGAAACCUGGGAGCCUCAGUGGCCCUCGCUAAAAACCUCCGAGGCGUGCCUAGACACAUCUUCCCAGGCAUGGUGGUACACACCCAUUAUUCCAGCACUCAAGAGGCUGAGACGAGAGGAUUGCCAGGAUUUCAAAACUACCCCAAUCUACAUGUAAGAACUGUUCCAACUAACAACCAAGGGCAGCAGUUCUGUUGAUCAGCAGAGCGGGCCUGUACCAGCUGUGACGAUAUUCAUCUCUGCCCCGCCUUAUUGGCUGCCCUCACCAGCUGACAGAUGGACCAAUCGUGUUACUGUAGAGGGGUUCACUCCUUGUCUGGCCAUCAGCAGGUGGGCCUGUCAUAGCAGGUCUUUCUCACAUGGCAGUCAGGUGACACUUAUGCUUUGUGUUUAAGGGAAACCAUCAACCAAAACAUCUAUGGUCAAACCCACAGUCAGUGUGAAGGGGGCACGGAUCUGGAGGACCAUCAAUGCAGGGACCAGCCAUGAUCUGCCUUCUACUAAAGCGUCAAAAGCCCCCCACAAGCACAGUCGACCUUCAAGAAACACCCAUCAUAUCGUCUGUCAGUGCUGUCAAGUCCCCAGUACAGCCUCUGUGUUUUCCAGUGUUUUCAGGUGACCCUGUGAAAGCAUCAUUCAACCCCCAAAGGGAUCUCAACCCACAGGAUCUCAAGGCAGUAUUGCAGCUAAAGAGAUCCCCAUAUUUCUGGGCUCUUGGUCCUAGCUUCUUUUGUUUUGUUUUGCUUUUUGUGUUUUUAUUUUUGUUUUUCGAGACAGGGUUUCUCUGUGUAGCUUUGGAGCCUGUCCUGGAACUUACUCUGUAGACCAGGCUGGCCUCGAACUCACAGAGAUCCGCCUGCCUCUGCCUCCCAAGUGCUGGUAUUGAAGGUGUGCACCACCAACGCCUGGCUUGGUCCUAGCCUCUACACAUCCCUUCUUCCUCCUCCUCUCCUCUUGUGUGGCACAUGUGAGUAUGUAUGGAUGCACUCCCCAGAGCACUCACAUGGAGAGGCCAAAGGUGGACUCUAGCAUCUUCCUCAAUUACUCUUGAUCUUAUUAUUUUCAAAGACUUAAUUUACUUGUAUUUAUGUGGGUGCCUGUGUGGCCAUCAGAUCUUCUGGAGCUGUAGAUACCGGUGAUGGUGAACAGCCUGACAGCUGGGAACUGAACUCUAGUCUACUUUAAGAUGAGCCAAGAGUUCUUAACUACUGGCCCUCUCUCCAGCCCUCUCUGCCUUAUGUUUAGUCUCUCACUGAACCUUGAGCUCACUGCUUAGACUAGACAGACUGGCCAGUGAGCUCCCAGGAUCAACCUGUUUCUGCCCACCACCAGCACUCACCCCUUCAUUGAGAGAACUACAGGCAUAUGCUGCCACACACAACUUUUUAAAUGGGUUCUGUCAAUCAAAUCCAGGUCCUCCCUUUACCCACUGAGUCAUCUCCCAGACCCUCCCCUUCUUUUCCCUGAGAAAAAGCUAACCAGUGCUUAGACCUGCUUGCUGUCCAUAGAAAGUUGGAAUGUAUUUUCAAACUGGAUCAUGUCCGGUCCUUCGGGGUGCAAAUUUCUGCAGCUUUGUCCAAUAUAACAUUCUUUUAAAACCCUGUGGGUUUUUUGUGAGUCUAACUCGGAUCCAUGUGUGCACUAAACACCACACCCAUGGUUAAUUUCAAAGACUCUAUUCUUGCUGCUGUGGGCACCUCUAAUACGCUCAGAAGCCCUUCCCUCAAGCUGAAAGUUUCUGCCAAACACCACUCGACACUGGCUGGGGUCUUAACAAAGGUCCCAUAGCCACACCCUAAUUCCAUCUUUCCUUUAGGCCAUUUCCUUACUUUAGGAGUCCAUUCCCUCCCAGACAGACAAAAAUGAGGACCAGUUUUACUUUCCAAAGCGCAAACUCAGCAGGAUCUAGCUAGCCCCUCCCUCCACUGUAACAGUCUCACCAGAUCCACAGGCAGCAGAAAGAGAGAGCCACUGGGCCUGGCUUGGGCUUUUGAAACUUUGAAAUCCAUUCCCAGUGACACACUUCCUCCAACAAGGCCUUCUAGUCCUUCUCAAGUAAUGCCACUCCCUGAUGACCAAGCAUUCAAGUACAUGAGUCUAUGGGGGCCCAUUCCUAUUCAAACCAUCACAUACCUAAAUGCAAGGUUUUCUUGUUUCGUUUUGUGUUUUGUUUUAGCAAAAAGGAGGAAUUAGAAGAGAGAUGUGUUUUCCUCUCAGAUUUGGAAUAUGAAGCCCAAGGUUUCAUGGUUGUGGAUCCAUCCGGUCAGCAUCUGGAAAGAGACUUCCUUCCAACUGCUUCUGGGGAGUUUGUAGGAGGAUCACACAGAAGAGAGAUCACACGGAGAGAUGAGACAAAUCCACUCCCUCAAUAACCCACUCAUGAGGAGGAAGGGGAUGGAAGACUCCGAGGAGAAAGUGUCCUCAAACGCAACAGGACUGAAGCACAUUUAAAUUCAGAGAGACUAUGGCAGGAUGCACAGGUUCAAGACAGAAAGGCAGGAAGUUGGCGUAUCUCCCACCCCUAACCGAGGAGCCACCGGCAAUUGACUCUGCUUAAAAGGGAAAACAUUAUUUCUCUUCAGUGGAGUCUCAGUGAGUAUAUUAACCACUUCCAGGGUAGCCCCCUGCCCAGCCAACACACACAAAAAAAAUACUUCAAUGGUAUUUUUAUAGAUUCAGAUUGCUUUGGGCAUUUUUUGUCUUACUGGUCUUUUGCUUGUAUAUUUUAAUUUUUGUUUUUAUAGGGAUCUGGGAUGGGGGGUGAGUUUCUUGGUCUUUUUCUUUUGCAGUUAUUUGUUUUGUUUGCUUGUUUGUUUUUUAAGAAAGAAAGAGAGAGAGCAUGGAGUUGGGUAGGUGGGAAGGAGAGGAGAAUAUGGGAGGAGAAAAGCAUGAUUACCAUAUAUUUUUAUGGGAAAAUUUUCAAAACGGUCUGUUAGCCGGAUUCAGUGGCACACACCUCUAAUCCUGGCACUCAAGAGACUGAGGCAGGGGGACCGUGAGUUCCAGGCCAGCCUGGGUACUGUCUCCUCUUAACUUCUGACUUGUCUCCUAAAAAAUAAUCUGGUUUUGUUUUAUUUUGUUUGAUUGGCUGGGUUUUUUGUUAUUGUUGUUUUUUGUUUUUUGAUGUUUGUUUGUUUGGUUGGUUGGUUGGUUGGUUGGUUAUACUCUCUAAGCAAGCAUGUGGUUCCUUAGGAAACCAACCCAACUUGAAAUUAGGAAAGGAAGCAGAGAGUAUAACAUUGAUUCCAGGAGUCUUUGAACUUCAUAAAUAAGUCAUUUUUCUAAACAAAUUUUUAAAAAAUCAGAAUAAGAGUGUGGAGGGACACACCCUUAAUCCAGGCAGAGGAGCUGGAUCUCUGUGAGUUCAAAGCCAGCCUGGUCUACAGAGAGAGUUCCAGGACAGCCAGAAUAGACCAGAAUCCAUGUAAAGGUGAAAGGAAAGAAAUGAAUCACCAAGUUGCCCUCUGACUUCCAUAUGCAUGCUGUGUCCCGUGCACUCCCACACAUGUGCACACACACACAAUAAAAUUGAUAUUAAUAAUAUUUUUAUUGGAUGUUUAAAAAUCAACAGAAAAGUACUGUCUUCUCCCUCAUUUUUAUUUUGCCACAUAAGGACAUUAAAAACACCAUCAUCACUUAAACAAAAAAGUGGGAAGAUAUACUCUGAAGAUGAAAGUAUAGAAAAGGCAGGUGUGUGGCCUUGACUGGCCCAAAUUCAGAGCUGGAUAUUAAGUGCUGCCUUGACAGCUGAUGAAAUCUGCAGGGUUUUGAGUGUCUCCACUCCCAGAUGAUACUGUCCUCAGCCAGACAACCUUCCCUACGAGGACCAGGUUCAGGUCUUGCUUCUCCCUGAGCAAAGGCUCAGUUCUCCGGAAACCUGCAAGGAUGAAUCAGUCUGCCAGUCCACCAUCCUUCAGGGAACCCAGCCUCACAUCCUUCUGAAUGCCCCCCUCCCCGAAGGCCUGCCUCUCACAGAUCUAGGCUGUACUGUUUCUGGAUGCAAGCCCCUUCUGGCAAUUCUGUGGAUACAGUGUUGUUCUCUGGGUUAUGAGCAUAUGAACCCCAUAAACUGCUUUUGACCCUACCAACUCACCGACUUAUAAGUGUUCAGCCAUCCCAUUAGGCCUGGGAUAGGAACUUUUCCCACAGCAGCUAAGUGAAGACAAGGGGCUGCAAACAUAGUGACAACCUGGCAAUGAUGGCCAAAUACCCCCAUACCAUCUCCUACAUGGGACAGUGAAAUCAUUCUAGAAAAACUUUGAUGGCCCAGGCUAGAAGCACUGGGACACUGUAGAGUCAGUCCAGAGACCUAUGAACUCCUCCAUCCCAGGCCUGGCUCCCCUCCAGAGUAACUUUUGACAAAUCAUUUCCUUUCUCUGUCUUCAGGUCCAGGCUGUAAAUUGAUGGGCAGUUCUGUGACACACACACGCCCCCCCCCCCGACAUUCCAAUAACAUCUAUAAAAUUACCCUAUAUGAUUAUAUUUCUAUGACUGUAAAUGCCCCUAGGUUGUUUUGAUCUUGUGGAGUCUGUCCCAUGUGUCUCAAGCUGGAGCUACAGGAGACAAUAAAAGGAGAGGGGUCCAGGUGACCAACAGAAGACCCUCUUACCUUGACUCAAGUCCUUCCAGAUUUGGGUUUCUGACUUGUCCAUCAAUAAAUAGGAGUUUUUCAGUCUCCUCCCCUUCCCCUCCAUGAUCCCGCCCCAGAUCCUGAAUUGUCUUCUUCAAGACUGAUUCCAUCCAACUAGAGAUGUUGUUCAAGCAGACACUGAGUUUCAAGCUCUCAACAGGCCAUGCUCCCCUCCCCUUCCUGAAGGCAGAGUGCCUGGGGACCCAGAAAGUAGGCCAGGUCCUGGAAACCUUCACAAAGUAGCACAGACAGGCCUCGGAUGGACCUGCAGAGUAGUAUACAGGGCCUCAGGCAGCCUCAGCUCUGACCCCUGCAGCCAACAGCCCUCUCUGUAGCCCAAAUCCUGCCCCAGAAUAAAGGAACCAAGCAGUUCCAGGCCUAAGCUCUGGGAGGAGAAAAUCCCAAACGAAAGCCACUGAACUGAUAGGAAAGAUUCCGGAGUCUGACUCCAAAACCACUAAGCCGAAAGAAACAGACUACAGUCCAGGGACAGAAUAGAGCACGUGCACAAUGAGACAGGAAGGAGGCUGAAUGAAUGAGAAAGAAUGGCAAUGGGAUGAGUAACUGAGACCAGGGCAUCUGGAUCCUGAGAAAUUUCCCACUAUGGACAGUAAAGCUGGGUGUCUAUGAAGAGGGGUGGUUCCUCAGUCCCCAAGCCCUGGGGAGUUUUACCAAAAGCACCCCAGGAGUUCAGUGGCUUACCAGAGGAAUGGCCCCCACUCCUGUAGAAUGUCCUGUCACCUCAAGCACUGAAGGGACUGAAAUUGUAUCUGCAGGCCCAGGGAUGGCUUCCAACAGUGCCAUUACAGUAUUGAAACCUGCAGUGACAGUGCCAGGGCUGACUUCUAUGAAGAAAUAGGAGAAUGAGCAGGCAGAUGGCUGAGAGGUAGGGCUAGCCCACAAGACUUCCCAACCAGAAUUCAGAGACCAGGAGGUUCAAAUCAAACUAGCCUUUUAAAAAUAUAAGGACCAGCCAGAUGGCUUGUCAACAAGCCUGACUACCUGAGUUCAAUCCGCAUGAACCUUGUGGUAGGAGGAGGAACUAGCUCUGGAAAUCUAUCCUCUGGCCUCCAAAUAUGUGCACUCAGCUAUGCACAUACACACACCUGUGUGUAUGUAUAUAUGUACCCAUGUAUAUAUCUAUACAUGUAAACAAUUUUAAAUUUAAUUUAAAAUAAUAAUUAAUACAAGCAAAUAAAUCAUUAGCAAGAGGUAUUUAAAAAGAGCCUCUUGGUGACAUCAGAUUAAUGGGGAAGAAGGGGUAUCCCUGAGGAUCAAACAUCGGGGUUCAACCUUUCCAGUUUAGUCAUGUAUCCCCAUUCUGAGAGUUCUCUCUUUUCUCUGCCACUAGCCGAGGAGCGCAAAGUGAAGUAGCUCAGCACUGAGGGCUUUGGUUCCAAAAUGCCGCAAUUGGUCAGCUUGGCUACUUACCAACCAACCAUGAAGUAACAAGGAGUGGGAUAGGAUGAGUGUUACGAUGGGAGUGGGCAUGGAAUGUGACCAUGGAUGCAAUGAGCCCAGCACAAUGCUUGUUAGAAGGCAGCGCUCCUUCCCUUGUCUGAAGACCAAAUCGGACAUUCUUGUUCUCAUGGAAGUGAGAACAUUGUAGCUGGCUGGGCCAGGAAGUGCCCGCUCAAGAUCAGAGUCAGCAGCAGAAAACACCUGAAGGUGGGCAGGCGUGGGCAGCAGAGACAGGGGCCAGGACAGUGCACCCCUUGCCUUGCUUCCAAAAGGCUGCUCUAGCAUGGAAAACAACCAACCAAUUUCCUUUGCAGAAAGACCAGGCUCCACAGCCAAAACUUGUCACUGGAGGCACCAGCUCAGAGGGAAAGGAGAGGGGAGCUAGCAGGCCUCCCCGCAGCACCCUUCCGUUGUCCAGACUUCUGAAGGCUCUAGCAAGAGAAAGGGUUACAGCCUUAAAAAGAGACCAAGCGGCUCCAGAUAUGAGAAGGAGGCUGCCGCAUCCUAAUUCCAGAAUCCUAAACUGUCUUUUCCCUGAGCGGGCCAGCCAGCCAUAAUUCCGAGGGUACCCCUUCAGGAGCAGCAAGCCACCUACCCACACCCAGCGCGCCGCCCUUGCCCGCCACCCACCCC